UACGUAGGGGGCAAGCGUUAUCCGGAUUUACUGGGUGUAAAGGGAGCGUAGACGGCCAGACAAGUCAGAAGUGAAAGCCCAGGGCUCAACUCUGGGACUGCUUUUGAAACUGCCGGGCUGGAGUGCAGGAGAGGUAAGCGGAAUUCCUAGUGUAGCGGUGAAAUGCGUAGAUAUUAGGAGGAACACCAGUGGCGAAGGCGGCUUACUGGACUGUAACUGACAUUGAGGCUCGAAAGCGUGGGGAGCAAACAGGG
rnacentral:rRNA from 1 species